rnacentral:lncRNA from 1 species
CUGCCUGAUUGUUUCCUCACAAUUAGAUGCAGGUCAAACAGUACAGGCAAGCAAAUGACAGAAGCUGUUCUGUCCUUCUCACCCACUGGACCAUAGCAGGAGUCCUAGGAAACGUCACUUUGUCCUGGCUUAUGUUAGAUCACUUGAUUAAGGUGGUGACACGAGACUGCUCCAGUUCAAGUUAUUGAAGGCAAGAAAGGUGCUUCCUACUCUUGGCAAAAAAAGGCACUGCUCAUACGCCCAGCAGACAAGCGUCUUUCUGAGGAACCAGGGGAGACAGAUUUUGAGCAAUUGAUGGAGAGGGUGUGAAACUACUCUGAGGGCACCAUGCUCUGGCAGGCUGUUUUUACUGUGUAAGGCAGUGCAGCGGGCAGUGCCCACACUCUGAUGAUGACUGUCCUGGAUUCUACGGAGUGGCAGCCGCUUACUAGCCAUGUGGUCUGGGGGCUGCAUCUCCAGUCUCUGGCACAGAGGCCUUGAUAAAUAAUCAACGAAUGGAUGGAAGGACGGAUGGAUGAAAGAAUGAAAGCAAGCCCAUUUCUGACAGGCUGAAUCAAUUCCUGAGCCCAGUUUUAAAAAGAGACCAGAGGAACAAAUAUUACUCUCCUGCUGAUAAAAACACUUUAAACUCCUCAGAAGGCAAGACUCUGCUGCUGGGAAUCUAGAAGCCAGAGCUAGCAGAAUAACUGCCAGAGAACAUUCCAGAACGUAGGUCUGCUCCAGUCCAAGAAUAUCUCGGCAUGAACCUGUUUUACAAGUACCUACAAGUCGGGAGGCAUCAGACUUUCCUAGAAAAGUCCCAGAAACCUCACUAUGUCGGUGACAAAGAGAGACUUUUCCUGUCUAGACACCACAAUGCUUGUAAUUAAAAUUAAGAUUUAGGAGGUGGAGGGAGGCAACA